rnacentral:rRNA from 1 species
UGGGGAAUAUUGGACAAUGGGCGAAAGCCUGAUCCAGCCAUGCCGCGUGUGUGAAGAAGGUCUUCGGAUUGUAAAGCACUUUAAGUUGGGAGGAAGGGCAUUAACCUAAUACGUUAGUGUUUUGACGUUACCGACAGAAUAAGCACCGGCUAACUCUGUGCCAGCAGCCGCGGUAAUACAGAGGGUGCAAGCGUUAAUCGGAAUUACUGGGCGUAAAGCGCGCGUAGGUGGUUUGUUAAGUUGGAUGUGAAAUCCCCGGGCUCAACCUGGGAACUUCAUUCAAAACUGACUGACUGGAGUAUGGUAGAGGGUGGUUGAAUUUCCUG